GACGAACGCUGGCGGCGUGCUUAACACAUGCAAGUCGAACGGUAAGGCCCUUCGGGGUACACGAGUGGCGAACGGGUGUGUAACACGUGGGUGAUCUGCCCUGCACUUCGGGAUAAGCCUGGGAAACUGGGUCUAAUACCGGAUAGGACCACUGCCUGCAUGGGUGGUGGUGGAAAGCUUUUGCGGUGUGGGAUGGGCCCGCGGCCUAUCAGCUUGUUGGUGGGGUGAUGGCCUACCAAGGCGACGAAGGGUAGCCGGCCUGAGAGGGUGACCGGCGACACUGGGGCUGAGGUACGGCCCAGACUCCUACGGGAGGCAGGAGUGGGGAAUAUUGCACAAUGGGCGCAAGCCUGAUGCAGCGACGCCGCGUGAGGGAUGACGGCCUUCGGGUUGUAAACCUCUUUCAGCACCGACGAAGCGCAAGUGACGGUAGGUGCAGAAGAAGGACCGGCCAACUACGUGCCAGCAGCCGCGGUAA
rnacentral:rRNA from 1 species